rnacentral:snRNA from 1 species
UUGCUUUGGCAGCACAUAUACUAAAACUGGAAUGAUACAGAGAAGAUUAGCAUGGCCCCUGCACAUGGAUGACAUGCAAAUUCAUGAAGCAUUCCGUAGUUUU